rnacentral:rRNA from 1 species
AUGAACGCUGGCGGCGUGCCUCAUACAUGCAAGUCGAGCGAACGGACGAGAAGCUUGCUUCUCUGAUGUUAGCGGCGGACGGGUGAGUAACACGUGGAUAACCUACCUAUAAGACUGGGAUAACUUCGGGAAACCGGAGCUAAUACCGGAUAAUAUUUUGAACCGCAUGGUUCAAAAGUGAAAGACGGUCUUGCUGUCACUUAUAGAUGGAUCCGCGCUGCAUUAGCUAGUUGGUAAGGUAACGGCUUACCAAGGCAACGAUGCAUAGCCGACCUGAGAGGGUGAUCGGCCACACUGGAACUGAGACACGGUCCAGACUCCUACGGGAGGCAGCAGUAGGGAAUCUUCCGCAAUGGGCGAAAGCCUGACGGAGCAACGCCGCGUGAGUGAUGAAGGUCUUCGGAUCGUAAAACUCUGUUAUUAGGGAAGAACAUAUGUGUAAGUAACUGUGCACAUCUUGACGGUACCUAAUCAGAAAGCCACGGCCAACUACGUG